rnacentral:rRNA from 1 species
AGGACGCUCACCACUUUGUGGUUCAUGACUGGGGUGAAGUCGUAACAAGGUAGCCCUAGGGGAACCUGGGGCUGGAUCACCUCCUUAUACGAAGAUAC